rnacentral:rRNA from 1 species
GAUACACCUGUUCCCAUUCCGAACACAGAAGUUAAGCUCUUUAGCGCCGAUGGUACUUGGUGGGAAGCUGCCUGGGAGAGUAGGACGUAGCCGCGU